GUGUCAGCAGCCGCGGUAAUACAGAGGUGGCAAGCGUUGUUCGGAAUUACUGGGCGUAAAGGGCGAGUAGGUGGCCAUCUAAGUCAGACGUGAAAUCCCCCGGCUUAACCUGGGAACUGCGUCUGAUACUGGACGGCUAGAGUAUGGGAGAGGGAUGUAGAAUUCCAGGUGUAGCGGUGAAAUGCGUAGAUAUCUGGAGGAAUACCGGUGGCGAAGGCGGCAUCCUGGACCAUUACUGACACUGAACCGCGAAAGCUAGGGGAGCAAACGGGAUUAGAUACCCCCGUAGUCC
rnacentral:rRNA from 1 species